rnacentral:misc_RNA from 1 species
AACGCACAUUGCGCCCGCCAGUAUUCUGGCGGGCAUGCCUGUCCGAGCGUCAUUUCAACCCUCGCGCCGUCCCUCCAGGGGGGCUCGGCGCGGUGUUGGGGGACACGGCCCCGGCCGCCCCCGAAAUGCAGUGGCGACCCCGCCGCGGCCCCUCCAGCGCAGUAAGCACGCUCGCUACGGGAGGCCCGGCGGACGCGUCCGCCGUGAAACGCCCAACUCUUCAGAAGUUGACCUCGGAUCAGGUAGGGAUACCCGCUGAACUUAA